GAUGAACGCUGGCGGCGUGCCUAAUACAUGCAAGUCGAGCGAACGGACGAGAAGCUUGCUUCUCUGAUGUUAGCGGCGGACGGGUGAGUAACACGUGGAUAACCUACCUAUAAGACUGGGAUAACUUCGGGAAACCGGAGCUAAUACCGGAUAAUAUUUUGAACCGCAUGGUUCAAUAGUGAAAGACGGUCCUGCUGUCACUUAUAGAUGGAUCCGCGCUGCAUUAGCUAGUUGGUAAGGUAACGGCUUACCAAGGCAACGAUGCAUAGCCGACCUGAGAGGGUGAUCGGCCACACUGGAACUGAGACACGGUCCAGACUCCUACGGGAGGCAGCAGUAGGGAAUCUUCCGCAAUGGGCGAAAGCCUGACGGAGCAACGCCGCGUGAGUGAUGAAGGUCUUCGGAUCGUAAAACUCUGUUAUUAGGGAAGAACAUAUGUGUAAGUAACUGUGCACAUCUUGACGGUACCUAAUCAGAAAGCCACGGUUAACUACGUG
rnacentral:rRNA from 1 species